CGGCUUCUGCUUGUUUCAAUGCGAUGAGUUCACUCCUACGGCUAGAGGAUCUCGAACUGUGUGUCUUCACACUAUCAUGGACAGACUUUGGCUUCAUGCUGGACAUGACUUUUAAAACGGACGUACAUGCCGUGUUGACAUACAAUAAACUUUCUUAAGCCGGUUGAAAUACAGAUGAGACUUUAGUGCGACCAAUUUUGAACGUGGAUUUAGUUCGAUGUCCAGUACCAGUCAUCUCCAUCUGCUACUAGCAAAGACCAAAGUGUAGGUCAAUUUACUUUUCUGUUCUGGAAACAGAUAGCGGAC